rnacentral:rRNA from 1 species
GACGAACGCUGGCGGCGUGCUUAACACAUGCAAGUCGAGCGGAAAGGCUCCUUCGGGGGUACUCGAGCGGCGAACGGGUGAGUAACACGUGAGUAAUCUGCCCUUGGCUUUGGGAUAACUACCGGAAACGGUGGCUAAUACCGGAUACGACCACUCCUUGCAGGAGGUGGUGGUGGAAAGUUUUUUCGGCCAGGGAUGUGCUCGCGGCCUAUCAGCUUGUUGGUGGGUAAUGGCCUACCAAGGCUUCGACGGGUAGCCGGCCUGAGAGGGUGACCGGCCACACUGGGACGGAGACACGGCCCAGACUCCUACGGGAGGCAGCAGUGGGAAUAUCGGACAAUGGGCGGAAGCCUGAUCCAGCAACGCCGCGUGAGGGAUGACGGCCUU